AGAGUUUGAUCCUGGCUCAGGACGAACGCUGGCGGCGUGCUUAACACAUGCAAGUCGAACGGAAAGGCCCUUCGGGGUACUCGAGUGGCGAACGGGUGAGUAACACGUGGGUGAUCUGCCCUGCACUUUGGGAUAAGCCUGGGAAACUGGGUCUAAUACCGAAUAGGACCACGCGCUUCAUGGUGUGUGGUGGAAAGCUUUUGCGGUGUGGGAUGGGCCCGCGGCCUAUCAGCUUGUUGGUGGGGUAAUGGCCUACCAAGGCGACGACGGGUAGCCGGCCUGAGAGGGUGACCGGCCACACUGGGACUGAGAUACGGCCCAGACUCCUACGGGAGGCAGCAGUGGGGAAUAUUGCACAAUGGGCGCAAGCCUGAUGCAGCGACGCCGCGUGAGGGAUGACGGCCUUCGGGUUGUAAACCUCUUUCAAUAGGGACGAAGCGCAAGUGACGGUACCUAUAGAAGAAGCACCGGCCAACUACGUGCCAGCAGCCGCGGUAAUACGUAGGGUGCGAGCGUUGUCCGGAAUUACUGGGCGUAAAGAGCUCGUAGGUGGUUUGUCGCGUUGUUCGUGAAAACUCACAGCUUAACUGUGGGCGUGCGGGCGAUACGGGCAGACUAGAGUACUGCAGGGGAGACUGGAAUUCCUGGUGUAGCGGUGGAAUGCGCGGAUAUCAGGAGGAACACCGGUGGCGAAGGCGGGUCUCUGGGCAGUAACUGACGCUGAGGAGCGAAAGCGUGGGGAGCGAACAGGAUUAGAUACCCUGGUAGUCCAA
rnacentral:rRNA from 1 species